GGAAGUAAAAGUCGUAACUAGGGUUCCGUAGGGGAACCUGCGGAAGGAUCAUUAUUGUAUAACCGAGGUGCGAGGGCUGUCGCUGACCCGAAAGGUCGUGCACGCCCGAGUGCCCUCACACACAUCCAUCUCACCCCUAUGUGCACCACCGCGUGGGUCCCCCUUUGGCUUGUUCGGAGGGGGGCUUACGUUUUCACACAAACUUUGUAUGCAGUGUAGAAUGUAUUUUUUGUUUUUGCGAUCACGCAAUCAAUACAACUUUCAACAACGGAUCUCUUGGCUCUC
rnacentral:misc_RNA from 1 species